ACGCUGGCGGCGUGCCUAACACAUGCAAGUCGAACGGAGUCGUUUGGAAAUCUCUUCGGAAGAUCUCACUUAUGGCGGACGGGUGAUAACGCGUGACAAUCUGCCUUUAAAGGGGAUAACAGUCGGAAACGUGCUAAUACCGCAUAAAGCAUCAAAUCGCAUGUUUUUGAUGCCAAAGGAGCAAUCCGCUUUUAGAUGAGCUCGCGUCUGAUUAGCUGGUUGGCGGGGUAACGGCCCACCAAGGCGACGAUCAGUAGCCGGACUGAGAGGUUGAACGGCCACAUUGGGACUGAGACACGGCCCAGACUCCUACGGGAGGCAGCAGUGGGGAAUAUUGCGCAAUGGGGGAAACCCUGACGCAGCAACGCCGCGUGAUUGAAGAAGGCCUUCGGGUUGUAAAGAUCUUUAAUCAGGGACGAAACAAAUGACGGUACCUGAAGAAUAAGCUCCGGCUAACUACGUGCCAGCAGCCGCGGUAAUACGUAGGGAGCAAGCGUUAUCCGGAUUUACUGGGUGUAAAGGGCGCGCAGGCGGGCCGGUAAGUUGGAAGUGAAAUCUAUGGGCUUAACCCAUAAACUGCUUUCAAAACUGCUGGUCUUGAGUGAUGGAGAGG
rnacentral:rRNA from 1 species